CCUACGGGAGGCAGCAGUGAGGAAUAUUGGUCAAUGGGCGGAAGCCUGAACCAGCCAAGUCGCGUGAGGGAAUAAGGCCCUACGGGUCGUAAACCCCUUUUGCCGUGGAGCAAGGGCGGGGACGUGUCCCGACCCGGAGAGUACCCGGAGAAAAAGCAUCGGCUAACUCCGUGCCAGCAGACGCGGUAAUACGGGGGAUGCGAGCGUUAUCGGGAUUUAUUGGGGUUAAAGGGUGCGUAGGCGGGCUUUUAAGUCAGCGGUAAAAAUUCGGGGCUCAACCCCGUACGGCCGUUGGAACUGGGGGCCUGGAGUGGGCGAGAGGAAGGCGGAAUGCGUGGUGUAGCGGUGAAAUGCGUAGAUAUCACGCAGAACCCCGAUUGCGAAGGCAGCCUUCCGGCGCCCUACUGACGCUGAGGCACGAAAGUGCGGGGAUCGAACAGGAUUAGAUACCCGAGUAGUC
rnacentral:rRNA from 1 species